UUUUGAAUUAAAUGUGCAAACAUACAUACGUACAUACAUGUAUAAGUAAAUGGCGCAUUUUUUCUCUUUAAUUUCACACCAAUAAUUUGACAGUUUCUUUAGUUAGAGCUUAAAUUAACUAAUUUUCGGGUGUUUAGUGAUUCGCUGUGCUAUUAAUUAUAAUUUCUUAAAGAAAAAAUGUGUAAAUUUUAAAUAUUUUUGCAUAAAAAUGUAAAUAAAGAUGUGCUUAAUGUUAUUUCAUAAAAAUAUUAUUGGAAAAUAUAAAAUUUAUAACAAAAAAAGUAUUUUAAAUUUUGGAAAAAAAAUACGAAGGUAGUUGUUGGCCAAAUUUGUGUGUUCGUUUUUUAUGUAAAAUAGAAAAGGGAGAUGAAAUUUGGUGAGAUGGUGUUAUUGAAAAGGUAUUAGGUGUUUUUGUUUUUGUGAAUAAAAAUAUACGUAAGUAAAUGGCGCCCUUUGUGAUUCACUGUGAUAUUAAUUAUAAUUUUUAAAAGAAAUAUGUAAAAUAUUUUGCAUAAAAAUUUAAAUAAAAAUGUGCUUAAUGUUAUUUCAUAAAAAUAUUAUACGAAAAUAUAAAAUUUAUAACCAAAAAAGUGUUUUGAAAUAUAAAAAAAUACGAAGGCAAUUAUUGGCCGAGUUUGUUUGAGAGCUUUUGUUGUUAUUGCAAAGGUGCAUCCAUCUUGUUUUUUAUAAAUAAAAAAUAGCAAUAUUAAAAAUAUUUACGUUAGGAAGAAGUGGAAAAGAUUUCCUAUGACAAUACAGAUUGAAGGAUGGAUGACAAGGCCGUUGAACUGGUUUGCCACAAGUUUUUGCAAACUUUGUGCGAUCAUUAAGCAACAGUCAUCAGUUUAAUCAGCAGAUAAUUACUACAGCAUCAAAGUCAAAAGGAAGCUCGAGAAAGAAUGGUAUUUUUGUACAAAGCUCAAGAUCAGCAUUCUUUUUUAAUUGAUGUUUAAUAUUGUCCUACGAAGAAAACCCCAAACACAGAUUAUAUAAGACCAAAAGUUUUGAAAAAUAAAAUAAAACAAAAAAAAAAA